GAUGAACGCUGGCGGCGUGCCUAAUACAUGCAAGUCGAGCGAACGGACGAGAAGCUUGCUUCUCUGAUGUUAGCGGCGGACGGGUGAGUAACACGUAGAUAACCUACCUAUAAGACUGGGAUAACUUCGGGAAACCGGAGCUAAUACCGGAUAAUAUUUUGAACCGCAUGGUUCAAAAGUGAAAGACGGUCUUGCUGUCACUUAUAGAUGGAUCCGCGCUGCAUUAGCUAGUUGGUAAGGUAACGGCUUACCAAGGCAACGAUGCAUAGCCGACCUGAGAGGGUGAUCGGCCACACUGGAACUGAGACACGGUCCAGACUCCUACGGGAGGCAGCAGUAGGGAAUCUUCCGCAAUGGGCGAAAGCCUGACGGAGCAACGCCGCGUGAGUGAUGAAGGUCUUCGGAUCGUAAAACUCUGUUAUUAGGGAAGAACAUAUGUGUAAGUAACUGUGCACAUCUUGACGGUACCUAAUCAGAAAGCCACGGCUAACUACGUGCCAGCAGCCGCGGUAAUACGUAGGUGGCAAGCGUUAUCCGGAAUUAUUGGGCGUAAAGCGCGCGUAGGCGGUUUUUUAAGUCUGAUGUGAAAGCCCACGGCUCAACCGUGGAGGGUCAUUGGAAACUGGAAAACUUGAGUGCAGAAGAGGAAAGUGGAAUUCCAUGUGUAGCGGUGAAAUGCGCAGAGAUAUGGAGGAACACCAGUGGCGAAGGCGACUUUCUGGUCUGUAACUGACGCUGAUGUGCGAAAGCGUGGGGAUCAAACAGGAUUAGAUACCCUGGUAGUCCACGCCGUAAACGAUGAGUGCUAAGUGUUAGGGGGUUUCCGCCCCUUAGUGCUGCAGCUAACGCAUUAAGCACUCCGCCUGGGGAGUACGACCGCAAGGUUGAAACUCAAAGGAAUUGACGGGGACCCGCACAAGCGGUGGAGCAUGUGGUUUAAUUCGAAGCAACGCGAAGAACCUUACCAAAUCUUGACAUCCUUUGACAACUCUAGAGAUAGAGCCUUCCCCUUCGGGGGACAAAGUGACAGGUGGUGCAUGGUUGUCGUCAGCUCGUGUCGUGAGAUGUUGGGUUAAGUCCCGCAACGAGCGCAACCCUUAAGCUUAGUUGCCAUCAUUAAGUUGGGCACUCUAAGUUGACUGCCGGUGACAAACCGGAGGAAGGUAGGGAUGACGUCAAAUCAUCAUGCCCCUUAUGAUUUGGGCUACACACGUGCUACAAUGGACAAUACAAAGGGCAGCGAAACCGCGAGGUCAGGCAAAUCCCAUAAAGUUGUUCUCAGUUCGGAUUGUAGUCUGCAACUCGACUACAUGAAGCUGGAAUCGCUAGUAAUCGUAGAUCAGCAUGCUACGGUGAAUACGUUCCCGGGUCU
rnacentral:rRNA from 1 species